AACAAACGCUGGCGGCGCGUUUUAAGCAUGCAAGUCGGACGGCAAGAGUUGUAGCAAUAUGGCUCUGAGAGUGGCGAACGGGUGAGUAACACGUAGGUGAUCUACCCUUGGAUGGGGGAUAGUCCGUGGAAACACGGGGUAAUACCGCAUGAGGCCUUGUGGGUGGAGCCAUGAGGUGAAAGGUGCAAUUGCACCGUCUGGGGAUGAGCCUGCGGUCCAUUAGGUAGUUGGCGGGGUAAGAGCCCACCAAGCCGACGAUGGAUAGCCGGCCUGAGAGGGUGUACGGCCACACUGGAACUGAGACACGGUCCAGUCUCCUACGGGAGGCAGCAGCUAAGAAUCUUCCGCAAUGGGGGAAACCCUGACGGAGCGACGCCGCGUGGACGAGGGAAGCCGUAAGGUUGUAAAGUCCUUUUCCUGGUGAAGAAUGAGCGGGGGAGUGGAAAGCCCCUGUGAUGACGUUAGCCAGGGAAUAAGCCCCGGCCAAUUACGUGCCAGCCGCCGCAGUAACAC
rnacentral:rRNA from 1 species